rnacentral:rRNA from 1 species
GGGAAGCGGCGAACGGGUGAGUAACACGUAGGUGAUCUGCCCAUCAGACGGGGACAACGAUUGGAAACGAUCGCUAAUACCGGAUAGGACGAAAGUUUAAAGAUGCUCCUGGCAUCACUGAUGGAUGAGCCUGCGGCGCAUUAGCUAGUUGGUGGGGUAAAGGCCUACCAAGGCGACGAUGCGUAGCCGACCUGAGAGGGUGAACGGCCACACUGGGACUGAGACACGGCCCAGACUCCUACGGGAGGCAGCAGUAGGGAAUCUUCGGCAAUGGGCGAAAGCCUGACCGAGCAACGCCGCGUGAAUGAAGAAGGCCUUCGGGUUGUAAAAUUCUGUUAUAAGGGAAGAAAGGUGAUAGGAGGAAAUGACUAUCAAUUGACGGUACCUUAUGAGAAAGCCACGGCUAACUACGUGCCAGCAGCCGCGGUAAUACGUAGGUGGCAAGCGUUAUCCGGAAUUAUUGGGCGUAAAGAGCGCGCAGGUGGUUAAUUAAGUCUGAUGUGAAAGCCCACGGCUUAACCGUGGAGGGUCAUUGGAAACUGGUUGACUUGAGUGCAGAAGAGGGAAGUGGAAUUCCAUGUGUAGCGGUGAAAUGCGUAGAGAUAUGGAGGAACACCAGUGGCGAAGGCGGCUUCCUGGUCUGCAACUGACACUGAGGCGCGAAAGCGUGGGGAGCAAACAGGAU